CCAUACCAAACUGUUGCCUCGGCGGGGUCACGCCCCGGGUGCGUCGCAGCCCCGGAACCAGGCGCCCGCCGGAGGGACCAACCAAACUCUUUCUGUAGUCCCCUCGCGGACGUUAUUUCUUACAGCUCUGAGCAAAAAUUCAAAAUGAAUCAAAACUUUCAACAACGGAUCUCUUGGUUCUGGCAUCGAUGAAGAACGCAGCGAAAUGCGAUAAGUAAUGUGAAUUGCAGAAUUCAGUGAAUCAUCGAAUCUUUGAACGCACAUUGCGCCCGCCAGUAUUCUGGCGGGCAUGCCUGUCCGAGCGUCAUUUCAACCCUCGAACCCCUCCGGGGGGUCGGCGUUGGGGAUCGGGAACCCCUAAGACGGGAUCCCGGCCCCGAAAUACAGUGGCGGUCUCGCCGCAKCCUCUCCUGCGCAGUAGUUUGCACAACUCGCACCGGGAGCGCGGCGCGUCCACGUCCGUA
rnacentral:rRNA from 1 species